GAUUGGGUGUCCAAAUUUAUCCCAAAUCCAGGUUUUAUCCCAGGCUGGGCUCUCCUGGGCUUCCUGACCUGUGUGAUCAGGGAUUGGGUAUCCAAAUUUAUCCCAAAUCCAGGUUUUAUCCCAAUGACAAGGAUACAAUUCUCCAUACAGGGAAUAAUAUAUAUAUAUAUACACAAAUAUAUAAUUCUCAGCACAGGGAGAAAGCUCUAAUCCGUGUUCCAGCCACUGUGAGCUCCCUCCUCCUGUCCUUUCCCUCCAUCCUUUCCCUGAGGAAAAGCAAAGCAGAGGUUCUUGCUUGCCCUGGUGAAGAACUGAGGAUUCCCUGGGGGAGCAGGGCUGGGAUCCCCCCGAGCUCCCCACCCUGCACAGCGCUGUGGAUUCUCCCCCUCUCCUCAGGCGCCUUCGUUUCCAGAACUUUCUCCAGGUUUCGGGGUGGCAGAAGAUGGUGGUGACGGACUGGACGGGUCACCCGGCAAUCACAGGAUUUGCACAACUCUGGGAAAAAUAAAACAAAACCAACUUUUGUUUAGUUCCUACCGUGGCAGAGGAGAGCGAAGAGAGCGGGAUUUGGGAGCCAGGGCGUCGUUGGCUGACUGAUCCCUUUGUAACAGAGCAGAGUUUUCCAGGGAAAACUCCGGAACACAGAACCCAAAGCAAUUUAUUUUCUGUUUGCAGACCAGGGUGACAGCAUUAAGGUAGCUCAAACUUCUUGACAGUGUCCUUUUAAGUCAAUUAUCCGUCUUCAAAUGGACUCUUCCUGAUGUUUAUAUUUAUAAAUACCAAUAAACACCAUUUUCCAA